rnacentral:rRNA from 1 species
AUUGAACGCUGGCGGCAGGCCUAACACAUGCAAGUCGAGCGGAUGACGGGAGCUUGCUCCUUGAUUCAGCGGCGGACGGGUGAGUAAUGCCUAGGAAUCUGCCUGGUAGUGGGGACAACGUUUCGAAAGGAACGCUAAUACCGCAUACGUCCUACGGGAGAAAGCAGGGGACCUUCGGGCCUUGCGCUAUCAGAUGAGCCUAGGUCGGAUUAGCUAGUUGGUGAGGUAAUGGCUCACCAAGGCGACGAUCGGUAACUGGUCUGAGAGGAUGAUCAGGCACACUGGAACGGAGACACGGUGCAGACUCCUACGGGAGGCAGGAGGGGGGAAUAUUGGACGAUGGGCGAAAGCCUGAGCCAGCCAGGCCGCGUGUGUGAAGAAGGUCUUCGGAUUGUAAAGCACUUUAAGUUGGGAGGAAGGGCAGUAAGUUAAUACCUUGCUGUUUUGACGUUACCGACAGAAUAAGCACCGGCUAACUCUGUGCCAGCCGCCGCGGUAAAAC